rnacentral:rRNA from 1 species
GACGUAGGGCGCGAGCGUUGUCCGGAAUUAUUGGGCGUAAAGAGCUCGUAGGCGGUUUGUUGCGUCGGGUGUGAAACCUCCAGGCUCAACCUGGAGACGCCACCUGAUACUGGUGUGACUAGAGUCCGGUAGGGGAGUGUGGAACUCCUGGUGUAGCGGUGAAAUGCGCAGAUAUCAGGAAGAACACCAGCGGCGAAGGCGGCACUCUGGGCCGGUACUGACGCUGAGGAGCGAAAGCGUGGGUAGCAAACAGG